rnacentral:rRNA from 1 species
GUGGGGAAUCUUGCGCAAUGGGCGAAAGCCUGACGCAGCCAUGCCGCGUGAAUGAUGAAGGUCUUAGGAUUGUAAAAUUCUUUCACCGGGGACGAUAAUGACUGUACCCGGAGAAGAAGCCCCGGCUAACUUCGUGCCAGCAGCCGCGGUAAUACGAAGGGGGCUAGCGUUGCUCGGAACUACUGGGCGUAAAGGGCGCGUAGGCGGACAGUUUAGUCAGAGGUGAAAGCCCAGGGCUCAACCUUGGAAUUGCCUUUGAUACUGGCUGACUUGAGUACGGGAGAGGUGAGUGGAACUCCGAGUGUAGAGGUGAAAUUCGUAGAUAUUCGGAAGAACACCAGUGGCGAAGGCGACUCACUGGCCCGUUACUGACGCUGAGGCGCGAAAGCGUGGGGAGCAAACAGGAUUAGAAACCCCUGUAGUCC